GAGUUGAGCGUCUCUAAGCUAUGGUAGAGACGCGGCGUACGGCUCAGUAACAUGUGGCUAACCUACCCUUAGGACGGGGACAACCCCGGGAAACUGGGGCUAACACCCGAUAGGUGAGGAGGCCUGGAAUGGUUCCUAGUCGAAAAGGCGUUGAAACCAUGCUUUUCGACGUCGCCUAAGGAUGGGGCCGCGCCCGAUCAGGUUGUUGGUGGGGUAACGGCUCACCAAGCCUAUAACCGGUACGGGCCGUGAGAGCGGGAGCCCGGAGAUGGGCACUGAGACAAGGGCCCAGGCCCUACGGGGCGCAGCAGUCGCGAAAACUCCGCAAUGCGCGAAAGCGUGACGGGGCUACCCCGAGUGCCGUCCGCUGAGGAUGGCUUUUCCCCGGUGUAAUGAGCCGGGGGAAUAAGGAGAGGGCAAGUCUGGUGUCAGCCGCCGCGGUAAUACCAGCUCUCCGAGUGGUAGGGAUGAUUAUUGGGCUUAAAGCGUCCGUAGCCGGCUUAGCAAGUCUCCUGUUAAAUUCAGCGACCUAAUCGUUGA
rnacentral:rRNA from 1 species